GGGGUUAUAGUAUAAUUGGUAGUACAGCAACUUUGCAUGUUGUUUGUUUAGGUUCAAGUCCUAAUAUCUCCA
rnacentral:tRNA from 1 species